rnacentral:rRNA from 1 species
GCAUCGAUGAAGAACGCAGCGAAAUGCGAUAAGUAAUAUGAAUUGCAGAUUUUCGUGAAUCAUCGAAUCUUUGAACGCACAUUGCGCCCUCUGGUAUUCCAGAGGGCAUGCCUGUUUGAGCGUCAUUUCUCUCUCAAACCUUCGGGUUUGGUAUUGAGUGAUACUCUUAGUUGAACUAGGCGUUUGCUUGAAAUGUAUUGGCAUGAGUGGUACUGGAUAGUGCUAUAUGACUUUCAAUGUAUUAGGUUUAUCCAACUCGUUGAAUAGUUUAAUGGUAUAUUUCUCGGUAUUCUAGGCUCGGCCUUACAAUAUAACAAACAAGUUUGACCUCAAAUCAGGUAGGAUUACCCGCUGAACUUAAGCAUAUCAAUAAGCGGAGGAA